UCAAGUCCAGUGGGGAGCUAAAAAUCAAGAUGACUGCUGAUGGCUUGGGAUGCAGUGAAUGACCUUUGCAUCUUUGAUAUGUGACCAAGCUCUAAACGCCCCACAGCAUUUGCUUCUGCCUCCUGCAUGGCCGUUGGAGCAAAUACAAAUGCUACAACUUUUUGGAGCCACAGCCAUCACAAGUUCUCCAACAGAGGCCUUCCUUGGUCUCUCGACAUCACAAAGACCAAUGGGACACCUGAAUUGUCCGUAUGUUUGGCCUUACCCCGUGACCCUUGCCUAAGGGUGAGUCUGGAGAGCACCUUCCCAAAUACGGUUGUCCCAGUACUCCAGAAGAUCCAGCCACAGCAGACGGGGCUGUCAAAGGCUUGACCAUGAGGUAGUAUCCAGCAGUAGCCGGGCUUGAUUAGGAGUCAUCCGCCGGAGACAUGACCUCUCUGACUCUCGAGGUCCUUGACAACUUGGACCUUUUAGGAGCAACUUCUUACACCUUGUAGCCACAGCCACCAUGCCAAGCUGUGCCUCUCCAGUCAAUGGUGGCUCACGCAGCUCCAUUAUGCUAGACUAGAAUGUCCUCUACUCCUCUGCUUGUGGAAAUCCUCCUAAUCCUUCCAGGCCUAGCUCCAACACAGCCCCUUUUGCUCAUGGUGCCUGCCCCAAGCCUUCUUUGUUUACCUCUAGUCAGGAGGGAGCUUUAUUCUCUGGACUCGCGUAGCUCUUUGUUUGUACUACGCUUAUGAUUCAUGUCCUCGUGUCCUAGCUUCCCGACAAGACUGCCAGCUCCUCGAGAAACAAAGACCCAUCUUUUUAAUGACAAUAUUCUACCGGUGUUGUAUGGUGGCAAGUCCCAGAAUAAGAAUCAUCUCCCAGGAAUUGAAAAUGAAUGUUGCCCAGAAGGCAAGAGAAUGGCAUAUGAUAUGUCUCAAUAAAGUGUAACACUUCCUAACAGGAAUUACAAAAGAAGACUCCAUUUUAUUCCAGGAUCCCAUCAAAGAAAUAUAUGAAUGUCAAAGAAUCUGGGCUGCUCAUGUGAUAAGACUUGCACACUGGGUGGGCUCCCUGUGGGGAGCAUGAGAGGAGACUUAGACAGAUUUUCUUGGGUAGGGCAGGAGGGAAAGAGUUGGAAUCUUUACCCAAAGGCUAUGGUGGGAGCUUUGGCAAUCUGAAUUAUUCUGGAAGAUCUGAGCUUGGUCUAGAACCUUGCAAAGUUUCCUGGAACACCUUAGAGUCUGUAUUUUGGGAUCAUGAAUCUAAGCUGUCUUGGACAUGAGUGCUAGUCUGGAC